rnacentral:tRNA from 1 species
AGAGAUUUAGGUUAACACAAGACCGAGAGCCUUCAAAGCCCUAGGCGGGAGUGAAAAUCCCCCAAUCCCUG